CAGGAAGCACAGGGAUAUGGAGCAAACAGUGACAAUCCGCCAAUUCCAUCUGUAAAUGUAUGGACUCAGGAGACAGGCUAUCAUCUCUUGGAGGAAGCAGUUAUGGGACAGUGUGUGUCAGCUGGAAGAUGAAGGGCUCUGUGCUCCUUUAAAGAGGAGAAUAAACCCCUUUUCCAUUUCUCCAAGUUCUUCUGAAAUGCUUGUUUGGCAGUUGUUGAGAAGACAGAAGAAGGCCCGGGUGGAGAACUUCCCCGUGAAGUACUUCCUCUGGCUUGCAUUUUCCUUGUUCUUGCUCCACACUAUGGGCUAGGUACAACACAAAUCAAGAUGCUGGGAGAUAGCUACACAAUUUUGGAGGGUACCUAGUUAUAAAGAACUUGAUGCAAGAUGAAGUUUUCAUUUUGUAUGCUUAAAAGUUAGCUUUUCAAGACUUUUGUAUGUAAAUACAAGGAAGCCUACACA